UGGGAUUCCUAGCACAGACGGGUCAUUGUAUUCAUUUUAGGGCAAUAGCCACCACUAGGCCCUUAGCUGUGAACCUGGAGCCCCACUCUGCUGGGAGUCAUCUCCGUUCCUCCAGGAAGGGCUGCCCAUGAGUUUGUUCCUAGGGAGCCUCAGUUGCCUGAGUCCUGGGGACAAAUGGGCCAGGGUCCAGAGUCUUGCAUUUUUUUCUACUGCAAAUUUAGCAAGAUGUAUAUGUAUAUGUAUGUAAGAUGUGUAUAUGUAUAGCUAUGUAGCGCUCUGUAGAGCCAUGUAGAUAGCCACUCACACAUGUGCACAUGUGUGUGCAAUCUAGUUUAACCCCAUGUUGCCAGGACACCCAGGUCACCUUCCAUCCGGUAACCUGCCUUGGCCCGCAGGCUGGGCACCACAGGCCCUGGGGGAAGUAUCUUCUCCAGUCCUCAGGGAAGAAGACCCCAGGGCCUCUUGGCAGGCCUCCUCUCUCCCCAUCUCUGGUCUCAAAUUCAGCCCCAGCCCGACCUCCCCUCAUGGAAGCAGAAGACUCCAGGCCAUGCCUCUCCUACCCUGUAGGGCCUCAAGCAGAUCCCAUCACCUCUGCGGUCCUCAGUUUUCCCAGCUGUAGAAUGGGAGGGGAGGGAAGCUUCUAUUUAUUGAGUCUGCUCUGUGCCAAGCACUGGUUUAGCACUUUACACACAUUAACUUCUUCAAUUUUACAAAUUGAAGGAGGUGUAGCUGCUUUGAUUCUUCCCAUUUCACAGACGAGGAAACCGAGUAUUACUCAUCGUUCCAGAAUCGGAUAAUUGCAAGUGGCAGAGCUGGGACUGAUCUGAGAUUGUAAUCUAGGCCUACCUUAGGCUAAAGCUGAUGUUCCUUUCAUUAGCAAAUUGUGUUGAGAGGAGCUGAAUUUGACACCAUGCAGGGUAUAGAGGGAAGAAACCAUAUUUUGGAGGUAAUCAGACCUGGAUUUCAAUCCCAGACCUGCCACUUCUUAGCUGUGUGACUUGGAACAAGUUAUCUGGGCUUUCUGUUAACCGUCUGUAAAAUGGGAAUGCUCGUGGUACCACCCCACAAGGACCUAUGAGGGCCAGAUGAGAACUGUAAUACACGUGACAUGCCCAGCCCAGCGCCUGGCACACACCAUAGUAGGUGCUCAAUAAAUCAUGUCUAUUCUGCCCCCUCAUGUGCCCAGCACCUUGCCCCAGUGAGCUCUGGUGAGAUCCCAAGGAGCUUUGGCUGCUGUCUCCAGGACUUACAAUCUCAGGACCCAGGAGGUAGCUGGAACUUUCUAAGGGUCUAAGGAAGGUGUGUGGCCAGUGGUGGGCUUGAGCCAUUGUGAAAACAGCUCAGAGGCAUGGUUAGUGGUACAUCCACUGCCUAAAGCGGGGGAAGAGGUUCGGCUGCCAAGACCUGAAUAAUGAGAGGGGCUGGUGUUGCCUUGUCCAUCCGGAACACUCCUCCACAUUCUUAAGGCAGAAUGUUGGCGAGAUCAGGCUUUGUCCUGGAAUGUGGACAAAAUUUCUCUAUAGAUGGGUCACGGCGUGUGAGGCAAUAAUCCAGGAAAGGAAAGGGGGAAGGAUCCUGGGUCUUCGGAAGAGCCACCUGGCCUUGGUCUCUGCUGGGCAGAUGAAGGCCCCUUGAAUUUUCAGGGCUGCACAUAGCAGCACCUUCUGGGCACAGAUACACACGCAGUUUAUGAAAGCUCCAACUCAGCCCAGCCACUCCAGAGACUGAGAAAGCCAGGUCUGGUCCAUCCUCCAUCUCUCACAAGCAAUUUUCAAAUCUUCCACUUUUAAAACAGAAAACGGUAAAUGCACCGAGUUGUAUAUUUUAUUUAAAUAAAAAAAUUCCAGC
ensembl:lncRNA